UUCUUCGUGUGUACACCUGGCUAAAUCGCGCGCGCGAUACCCGCGCACGUUUCAGCGGCCGGGAACAAUAGAAGUGGAACUGAUACCUUUCCGUCGUACUUUUUUCGGUUUAAGACGACUGAAUGAGACGCGCCAUCCACUGCUGGUGGCUCGCGUUCCAACCCCCUCCAGACGUACUAUUGACCAAUCAUGGGAAUUGAAGGGUUUGCUGAGAGAACGAGGUCUGCUUUUCUAAUAACGUUCUUGGCUAUAGAACUACCAGGCAGGUCAAACUGACCCAUUCCUGAUUUCUUCUUUUUGCAAUUAUUGAAAACAUUACCGAAGAUUCUCUGGGAUUUUUAGCGUUGAAAUUCUGAAUUCGCAUGAAGAUCCGCAAUCUACUCAUCACUGUCCACGCAGGACUGACGUUUAAUCUCCUGAAUCCCUCCGGAGAAAAAAUUUGGAACUAGUGGAGAUAUGAAAUGAAACUAGGAAGAAACGAG